rnacentral:SRP_RNA from 2 species
GCCGGGCGUGGUGGCUCACGCCUGUAGUCCCAGCUACUCGGGAGGCUGAGGCAGGAGAAUCGCUUGAACCCGGGAGACAGAGGUUGCAGUGAGCUGAGAUUAUGCCACUGCACUCCAGCCUGGGCAACAGAGUGAGACUCAGUCUCAA